CACCCAAAUGAAUAUUCACACAAAACCUAAUUACAAAAUCUAAAAUUAAAAUAAGACAUCUCAACACACCCCUCGUCUGUCCCCAUGCUACCUUCACCACCGUCAACCAUCGCUUUCCGAAACCACCGUCGGUCGUCGCUUUCUAAAACCAUAAUCGCUCUGGUUCUAACGGUUACUAAGGGGAAAACUCUUGCUGUAAUUAAUAGUUGUAGGCGCUAUUGUGAUCUUCGAGGUGCAAAGAUGUUCUAGAUCAAAGGCAAGAAAGAAAGAAAUGCGUGUAAACAAGAGGUGGAGAAAAUUCAAUGUGUUUCCUUAUGAUAUCAUUACAAAGAAUUUGUCUAAUGUUGCGCCACUAGGAUCAAUGAAACAAAGGAAAAAUGGAGGGCUAUCCAAUUUCAAGGGUGAAACAAUUCAAUUAGUAGUUGUUUUCAAUGGGGAUCACUCCUUAAACAUAUUCCUGAAUGAGAUGGGUAAAAAGAGACAAUAAAUAAAGCUCAUGAAUAUGUUAAGGAAGUUAUUUUGUGACUUACAAGAACAAGCAGGGAGACCAUCAAAUUAGGAGUAGAUGAAAAUGUUAUAAAUCUUCAAAGUGGAAUGCUUUUGUUUAUCACAAAAUGUAGAAUGAUGUUUAUUCAUAUUUGUAAUGUGAAAUGCCAUAGUAUUUAGGGAAUCAGUUUUGAUGGAGCUACUUUGUUGCUUUUGAUAUUGCUAUUUUAAAUGGCUAUAUAUGCAACCGAAUUUGUUAUGUCAA